rnacentral:rRNA from 1 species
UCCGUAGGUGAACCGGCGGAAGGAUCAUUGUCGUAACCUGCCUAGCAGAACAACCCGUGAACAAGUGCUUCUAUCAAACUCGGGGCGUGCUCCGGGUCCCUUUGGGAAGGGACCCGAGACCCGCCUCGCGUCGGGGCCCCCCGACUAUAAACCAAAACUCGGGCGCGGUAUGCGCCAAGGAAAGUGAGAAUGUCGCUAUUUUAUUAGAGCGUCGCAAUGACUCUCGGCAACGGAUAUCUCGGCUCUCGCAUCGAUGAAGAACGUAGCGAAAUGCGAUACUUGGUGUGAAUUGCAGAAUCCCGUGAACCAUCGAGUCUUUGAACGCAAGUUGCGCCCGAAGCCUUUCGGCCGAGGGCACGUCUGCUUGGGCGUCACGCAUCGUCGCCCCCACUCCUCCCCAGUUUUUCUGGGCCGUUGGUGUGGGGCGGAUAAUGGCCUCCCGUACGCUUGCCGCGCGGAUGGCCCAAAAUUGAGUCCCCGGCUUCGUUUGCCGCGACAUUCGGUGGUCGUCGAUUACUCGGUGUCCCGUCGUGCGCGCGGCCGGAGUGCUCGCUGGAAUGACCCAUGUGGCCCAUCGCUGGACCCCCAGUGAUGCGCGCCCUUCUAAGCGACCCCAGGUCAGGCGGGGAUACCCGCUGAGUUUAAGCAUAUCAAUAAGCGGAGGA